GAACUGUGCAAACGUUAUUCGGAAUCACUGGGCUUAAAGGGUGCGUAGGCGGGUUUAAAGGUCUGAUGUGAAAACCCACGGCUCAACCGUGGAAUUGCGUUGGAAACCAUAAGCCUUGAGGAGAUCAGAGGUGAGCGGAACUGAUGGUGAAGCGGUGAAAUGCGUUGAUAUUAUCAGGAACACCGGUGGCGAAAGCGGCUCACUGGGAUCUUUCUGACGCUGAGGCACGAAAGCUAGGGGAGCGAACGGGGGAUUAGAUACCCCGGUAGUCCUAGCUGUAAACGAUCAGCACUAGUCUGUGGGGGCUUCCACACCCCCCUCUCGGACGUAGCGAAAGUGUUAAGUGCUGCGCCUGGGAGUAUGGUCGCAAGGCUG
rnacentral:rRNA from 1 species